UACGAAGGGGGCUAGCGUUGUUCGGAAUUACUGGGCGUAAAGCGUGCGCAGGCGGCUUCUCAAGUCAGGGGUGAAAGCCCAGAGCUCAACUCUGGAAUUGCCUUUGAGACUGAGUGGCUUGAGUACGAGAGAGGUGAGUGGAAUUCCCAGUGUAGAGGUGAAAUUCGUAGAUAUUGGGAAGAACACCGGUGCCGAAGGCGGCUCACUGGCUCGUAACUGACGCUCAUGCACGACAGCGUGGGGAUCAAACAGG
rnacentral:rRNA from 1 species